rnacentral:rRNA from 1 species
AACGAACGCUGGCGGCAGGCUUAACACAUGCAAGUCGAGCGCCCCGCAAGGGGAGCGGCAGACGGGUGAGUAACGCGUGGGAAUCUACCCAUCUCUACGGAAUAACGCAUGGAAACGUGUGCUAAUACCGUAUACGUCCUUCGGGAGAAAGAUAUAUCGGAGAUGGAUGAGCCCGCGUUGGAUUAGCUAGUUGGUGGGGUAAAGGCCUACCAAGGCGACGAUCCAUAGCUGGUCUGAGAGGAUGAUCAGCCACACUGGGACCGAGACACGGCCCAGACUCCUACGGGAGGCAGCAGUGGGGAAUAUUGGACAAUGGGCGAAAGCCUGAUCCAGCCAUGCCGCGUGAGUGAUGAAGGCCCUAGGGUUGUAAAGCUCUUUCACCGGUGAAGAUAAUGACGGUAACCGGAGAAGAAGCCCCGGCUAACUUCGUGCCAGCAGCCGCCGUAAUAC